GACGAACGCUGGCGGCGUGCUUAACACAUGCAAGUCGAACGGUAAGGCCCUUCGGGGUACACGAGUGGCGAACGGGUGAGUAACACGUGGGUGAUCUGCCCUGCACUUCGGGAUAAGCCUGGGAAACUGGGUCUAAUACCGGAUAGGACCACUGCCUGCAUGGGUGGUGGUGGAAAGCUUUUGCGGUGUGGGAUGGGCCCGCGGCCUAUCAGCUUGUUGGUGGGGUGAUGGCCUACCAAGGCGACGACGGGUAGCCGGCCCGAGAGGGUGACCGGCCACACUGGGACUGAGAUACGGCCCAGACUCCUACGGGAGGCAGCAGUGGGGAAUAUUGCACAAUGGGCGCAGGCCUGAUGCAGCGACGCCGCGUGAGGGAUGACAGCCUUCGGGUUGUAAACCUCUUUCAGCACCGACGAAGCGCAAGUGACGGUAGGUGCAGAAGAAGGACCGGCCAACUACGUGCCAGCCGCCGCCGUAAUAC
rnacentral:rRNA from 1 species